rnacentral:rRNA from 1 species
GAUAAACGCUGGCGGCGCACAUAAGACAUGCAAGUCGAACGGACUUAACCAUUAGUUUACUAUUGGAGCGGUUAGUGGCGGACUGGUGAGUAACACGUAAGUAACCUGCCUGUUANAGGGGAAUAACAGUGAGAAAUCACUGCUAAUACCGCAUAUGCUCACAGUAUCGCAUGAUACUGUGAGGAAAGGAGCAAUCCGCUAACAGAUGGGCUUGCGUCUGAUUAGAUAGUUGGUGGGGUAACGGCCUACCAAGUCGACGAUCAGUAGCCGAACUGAGAGGUUGAACGGCCACAUUGGGACUGAGAUACGGCCCAGACUCCUACGGGAGGCAGCAGUCGGGAAUAUUGCGCAAUGGGGGAAACUCUGACGCAGUGACGCCGCGUAUGGGAAGAAGGUUUUAGGAUUGUAAACCAUUUUAGACAGGGAAGAACAAUGACAGUACCUGUAGAAUAAGCUCCGGCUAACUACGUG